GACGUAGGGCGCGAGCGUUGUCCGGAAUUACUGGGCGUAAAGGGCCAGUAGGCGGCCAACUAAGUCACACGUGAAAUCCCCAGGCUUAACCUGGGAACUGCGUGUGAUACUGGAUGGCUUGAAUUCGGGAGAGGGAUGCAGAAUUCCAGGUGUAGCGGUGAAAUGCGUAGAUAUCUGGAGGAAUACCGGUGGCGAAGGCGGCAUCCUGGACCGACAUUGACGCUGAACGGCGAAAGCUAGGGGAGCAAACGGG
rnacentral:rRNA from 1 species